rnacentral:rRNA from 1 species
CAAUAUAAAUUGAUUAAAUUUUAUUUAUUAAUUUUUAUUGUUUAAAAUUUAAAUUAUUAAAAAUAAUUAUAAAAUUUAAUGUUUAAGUAUUUUAUAAAGAAUAAACAAUUUUAAUAAUAGUUUAUUAGUAUUGUAAAAGAAUAUUGAAAUACUUUGAAAAAUUUUUAUUUUAAAAGAAAAUUUAAUUUAUUGUACCUUGUGUAUCAGGGUUUAUUAAAUAAAAAAUAAUUAUUUAUUUUUCUCGAUUUUAAAAGAGUUAAUAAAGUAUAAAAGUUAAUGUAGCAAAAUUAUUUUAAAUAUUUUAUUAGAAGUGAAAUGUUAUUCGAUUUUAAAGGUAUCUAGUUUUCUUAGAAAUAAAUUUAAUUUAGAAAUUUAAAAUUAUUUGUUUAAUUUUAUUAAUUAAAUGAUUUUUAAAUUUUAAUAUUUUAUGGGAUAAGCUAUAAAAUAAAUUAUUAAAAAUAAUAAAUAASAUAUUAAAACGUAUGCUUAGAAUUAGCAAUCGUUGAUAAGUUUGUUAUAAUUUAUUUUAUAAUUUAAAUUAUUUAUUAAAUUUUAAUUUUUUAUAAGAAUAAUUGCUUUAAUUUUAAAAGUAAUAUAAUAAUGAUAAAAUUAGUAUAAAUUAUUGUAUAAUUAAUUUGAAAUGAAAAGUUUAAGUAAAGAAUUCGGCAAAAUAAUAUUCGCCUGUUUAACAAAAACAUGUCUUUUUGAGUUUUAUUUAAAGUCUAACCUGCCCACUGAAAUUUUUUAAAUGGCCGCAGUAUACUAACUGUGCAAAGGUAGCAUAAUCAUUAGUCUUUUAAUUGAAGGCUGGAAUGAAUGGUUGGACGAGAUAUUAACUGUUUCAUUUGAAAUUAUAGUAGAAUUUUAUUUUUUAGUCAAAAAGCUAAAAUUUAUUUAAAAGACGAGAAGACCCUAUAAAUCUUUAUAUUUUGUAUAAUUUUAAUUAUUUAGAUUUUUUUUGUUGUUAUUAUAUAAAAUAUUUUAUUGGGGUGAUAAUAAAAUUUAAUAAACUUUUAUUUAAAUUUUACAUUUAUUUAUGAAUAAUUGAUCCAUUAAUAAUGAUUAAAAAUUUAAGUUACUUUAGGGAUAACAGCGUAAUUUUCUUGGAGAGUUCAUAUCGAUAAGAAAGAUUGCGACCUCGAUGUUGGAUUAAGGUAUAAUUUUGGGCGCAGCCGUUCAAAUUUUAAGUCUGUUCGACUUUUAAUUCCUUACAUGAUCUGAGUUCA